UGGCUGGUAGAAAGGAAACGAAAAGGCUUUAAACGCAACUGUUUGCGUUCCAGUCUACGACGAGAGCCUGAAAAAGCUCUCGCCAGGCAAUAAAAUACACUCAUAGACACACACACACACAGACACACUCCCACACACAGUUUCAUACAGCACCCGCUCGCUCACUAACACCACACCCAAAGCAGACGAGACAAUUUGAGCAUAAACCACAAAAAGAGAAUAAUCUAGAACAGCAGCUGGCAGCUGAGAGCGCUGAGCGCCAAUCGACUAAGACACAGGGAGAGAGAGUAGAAUUCGAAACUCUCUGAUCUCGUAGAUCGAGACAUACGUGCGAAAGAGAGAGAACGAGAAAAAAUCUUCAAGUCUUGUACAAAAGAACGACGCACUGAGAGUAUUUUGCAAAAAAUACUCGUGCACACACACUCUCAGGAUAUGUACGGCAACAAUAAUCCGGGUAGUAACAAUAAUAACGGUGGUUAUCCCCCAUACGGUUACAACAAGUCGAGCAGCCAAGCAACAGCAGCCUUAUCAAGCGAUCUCAACAAGAACAGCGAAAACAACGACAGAUACAAACGCUUCGAUUGUAUUUAGUGUGGUUGCUUUUCGCUCCACUUCAUUAUUAUUACGAUUAUUUUUAAUAUUACUAUUACUAUUGUUUGAAACAAAGA